GUGCUUGCUCCAGCAGUACACACACUAAAAUUGGAAGGAUACAGAGAAGAUUAGCAUGGUCCCUUUGCAAGGAUAACAUGCAAAUUCAUGAAGCGUUCCAUAUUUUU
ensembl:snRNA U6 U6 spliceosomal RNA